CCUACGGGUGGCAGCAGUGAGGAAUAUUGGUCAAUGGGCGAGAGCCUGAACCAGCCAAGUCGCGUGAAGGAUGACUGCUCUAUGGUUUGUAAACUUCUUUUAUAUGGGAAUAAAGUGAGGAACGUGUUCCUUUUUGUAUGUACCAUAUGAAUAAGCAUCGGCUAACUCCGUGCCAGCAGCCGCGGUAAUACGGAGGAUGCGAGCGUUAUCCGGAUUUAUUGGGUUUAAAGGGUGCGUAGGUGGUUAAUUAAGUCAGCGGUGAAAGUUUGUGGCUCAACCGUAAAAUUGCAGUUGAUACUGGUAGACUUGAGUAGAGUUGAGGUAGGCGGAAUGCGUGGUGUAGCGGUGAAAUGCAUAGAUAUCACGCAGAACUCCGAUUGCGAAGGCAGCUUACUAAACUAUAACUGACACUGAUGCACGAAAGCGUGGGUAUCAAACAGGAUUAGAUACCCUUGUAGUC
rnacentral:rRNA from 1 species